AAGGAGAGAGACAUACACACUCACAGACACAACGAGGGAGGGAAACACACACACACAGACAAAAACAGUCACAGACACAAAGAGAGAGAGGGACAAAGAGAGAGACAUACACAGACACAACAGAGAGACAAAGACAGACACACACAGAUAACAAACAGAGUAACAGACACAAAGAAGCAAAGAGAGAGAAAUAGAGACAAAGAGAGAGACAUACACACACACACACACAAAGAGACAACGAAAGAGACAAAGACAGACACACAC